rnacentral:snRNA from 9 species
AUACCUACCUGGCGUCGGGAUACCGUGAUCAUGCAGGCGGUUCCCCGGGGUACGGCUGCUCCAUUGUACUGCAAAGUGGUUGACCCUUGCGAUUAUUUUUAUAUUUUAUAAGUUUCACUUCUACCGUGUGUGACUUGACACCCA